rnacentral:rRNA from 1 species
UACGUAGGGUGCAAGCGUUAAUCGGAAUUACUGGGCGUAAAGCGUGCGCAGGCGGUUUUGUAAGUCUGACGUGAAAUCCCCGGGCUCAACCUGGGAAUUGCGUUGGAGACUGCAAGGCUAGAAUCUGGCAGAGGGGGGGUAGAAUUCCACGUGUAGCAGUGAAAUGCGUAGAGAUGUGGAGGAACACCGAUGGCGAAGGCAGCCCCCUGGGUCAAGAUUGACGC